AGUCGGAGAUUCACAAAUGCAGUCGUGGUCAGUCCGUGACUUGUGGCAAUAUUAUCAUUGUAUACAAAUAUUGCACUUGUCCCGGCCUAUCCAAGGCAGUACUUCGACGGCGUGGAUCUC
rnacentral:pre_miRNA from 12 species